UACGUAGGGUGCAAGCGUUGUCCGGAAUUAUUGGGCGUAAAGAGCUCGUAGGCGGUUUGGCAAGUCGGGUGUGAAAACUCCGGCUCAACUCGGAGACGCCACUCGAUACUGCCAUGACUCGAGUCCGGUAGGGGAGUGCGGAAUUCCUGGUGUAGCGGUGAAAUGCGUAGAUAUCUGGAGGAAUACCGGUGGCGAAGGCGGCAUCCUGGACCAUUACUGACGCUGAGGCGCGAAAGCUAGGGGAGCAA
rnacentral:rRNA from 1 species